GAUCAUGGCUCAGGAUGAACGCUGGCGGCGUGCCUAACACAUGCAAGUCGAGCGAAGCAUUACAGCGGAAGUUUUCGGACGGAAGCUUUAAUGACUGAGCGGCGGACGGGUGAGUAACGCGUGGAUAACCUGCCUCAUACAGGGGGAUAACAGUUAGAAAUGACUGCUAAUACCGCAUAAGCGCACAGUAUCGCAUGAUACGGUGUGAAAAACUCCGGU
rnacentral:rRNA from 1 species